GACGAACGCUGGCGGCGUGCCUAAUACAUGCAAGUCGGACGCAGUUGCGAACGGGUGAGUAACGCGUAGGUAACUGCCUAUUAGAGGGGGAUAACUAUUGGAAACGAUACCUAAUACCGCAUACUAGUAGAUUGACCUGCGUUGUAUUAGCUAGUAGGUCGGGUAAUGGCCUACCUAGGCGACGAUACAUAGGCGACCGGGAGGGGUGGACGGGCAACCUGGGACUGGGGCAAGGGUCAGGCUCCUACGGGAGGCAGCAGGAGGGAAUCAUCGGAAAUUGGGGGAACCCUGGCCGAGCAACGCCGCGGGAGUGAAGGAGGUUUUCGGGGUGGAAAGCUCUGUUGUUAGGGGAGCGUUACUUAACCAGAAAGGGACGGCUAACUACGUGCCAGCAGCCGCGGUAAUAC
rnacentral:rRNA from 1 species